UCCGUAGGCGGGCAAUUAAGUCAGAGGUGAAAUCCCACAGCUCAACUGUGGAACUGCCUUUGAUACUGGUUGUCUUGAGUUACAGUGAAGUAGAUAGAAUAUGUAGUGUAGCGGUGAAAUGCAUAGAUAUUACAUAGAAUACCGAUUGCGAAGGCAGUCUACUAACUGUAGACUGACGCUAAGGGACGAAAGCGUGGGGAGCGAACAGGAUUAGAUACCCUGGUAGUCC
rnacentral:rRNA from 1 species